ACAAAGAAUGAAUGUAAAAAGAGAACAAGUUGACAUCCUCAAUGCCAAGUACUGCCAAAUAUUAAAAAAAAGUAUAUCGGCUGAUCGCUUGGCUUAACCUUAUUCAGUGAAUCCUGACUUGGAUCGAGAGUACAACACACAACUCCAUAUCAUCCACAAGCAAAUAAACUCGUGGAAAGAUGGCAUCGUACAUUGAAAUCAGCUUUACGAUUUCAUGGAGUCAUCUUUCAAAAUUUGGGAAACAAACAUUAGAAUUGUUCUCAGCGGCCGUAAUGCACAAGCCAUCGUUUGAAUCCGGCUUAGUUUUGAACUGUAGCAGGACUUUUAAAGUGCCGACCACCAGACCACAACAUUAUAGAUCUCACAACUACAGUAUACAACCAGUGCAACCCUCGAACUAUUGCCAAUAGCUCUCUUGCAGGUCCAUAGGCCAGAGCUUCCUUUCUUGGCUGUCCAAAAUGUUGGAUUUGAAGUUCAAAUUCCUGUCUCGCAAACACUGUCUGCUGAUAUUAAAUUAAACAUUUUAAACUUUUGAAUAAAUCUAUACACAAUUUUUUAAAUUCCAAACAAGAAUUGAGGCAUUUGCUAUAGCUUAAUAAAAAAAUUGUCAAUUUAA